AGUGAACGCUGGCGGUAGGCCUAACACAUGCAAGUCGAACGGCAGCACAGUAAGAGCUUGCUCUUACGGGUGGCGAGUGGCGGACGGGUGAGGAGUACAUCGGAAUCUACUUUUUCGUGGGGGAUAACGUAGGGAAACUUACGCUAAUACCGCAUACGACCUACGGGUGAAAGCAGGGGAUCUUCGGACCUUGCGCGAUUGAAUGAGCCGAUGUCGGAUUAGCUAGUUGGCGGGGUAAAGGCCCACCAAGGCGACGAUCCGUAGCUGGUCUGAGAGGAUGAUCAGCCACACUGGAACUGAGACACGGUCCAGACUCCUACGGGAGGCAGCAGUGGGGAAUAUUGAACAAUGGGCGCAAGCCUGAUCCAGCCAUACCGCGUGGGUGAAGAAGGCCUUCGGGUUGUAAAGCCCUUUUGUUGGGAAAGAAAAGCAGCAGGUUAAUACCCCGCUGUUCUGACGGUACCCAAAGAAUAAGCACCGGCUAACUUCGUG
rnacentral:rRNA from 1 species